GUCUAUGGCCACGCCACCCUGAACGUGCCCGAUCUUGUCUGAUCUCAAAAGCUAAGCAGGGUUAGGCCUGGUUAGUACUUAGAUGGGAGACCACCUUGGAAUAUCAGGUGCUGUAGGCA
rfam:Pteropus alecto contig96187, whole genome shotgun sequence.